GGGGGGUACGACAGCUGUUGCAUGGCUGUCGUCAGCUCGUGACGUGAGUUGUUCUCUUAAGUGAGGUAACGAGCGCAAUCCCCGUUCUGUGUUAUUGUGUCACAGAAGACUGCCUAGCAUUAUUUUGUUAGGAGGAAGGAGGGACGACGUCAAGUCAUCAUGAUGCUUAUAUCCAGGGCUACACACAUCCUACAAUGGGCUAUAACAGAGGGUUGCAAGACCGCAAGGUGGAGCUAAUCCCUAAACUAGCCCUCAGUUGGGAUUGCGGGCUGAAACUCGCCCGCAUGAACCCGGAAUUGGUAGUAAUCGCACAUCAGCAGCGUGCGGUGAAUACGUUCUCGCCUCUU
rnacentral:rRNA from 1 species